rnacentral:rRNA from 1 species
AACGAACGCUGGCGGCAGGCCUAACACAUGCAAGUCGAGCGAGACCUUCGGGUCUAGCGGCGGACGGGUGAGUAACGCGUGGGAACGUGCCCUUUUCUGCGGAAUAGCCUCGGGAAACUGAGAGUAAUACCGCAUACGCCCUUUUGGGGAAAGAUUUAUCGGAGAAGGAUCGGCCCGCGUUGGAUUAGGUAGUUGGUGGGGUAAUGGCCUACCAAGCCGACGAUCCAUAGCUGGUUUGAGAGGAUGGUCAGCCACACUGGGACUGAGACACGGCCCAGACUCCUACGGGAGGCAGCAGUGGGGAAUCUUAGACAAUGGGGGCAACCCUGAUCUAGCCAUGCCGCGUGAGUGAUGAAGGCCUUAGGGUUGUAAAGCUCUUUCAGCUGGGAAGAUAAUGACGGUACCAGCAGAAGAAGCCCCGGCUAACUCCGUGCCAGCAGCCGCCGUAAAAC